rnacentral:rRNA from 1 species
GAUGAACGCUGGCGGCGUGCCUAAUACAUGCAAGUCGAGCGAACAGACGAGGAGCUUGCUCCUCUGACGUUAGCGGCGGACGUGUGAGUAACACGUGUAUAACCUACCUAUAAUACUGGGAUAACUUCGGGAAACCGGAUCUAAUACCGUAUAAUAUAUUGAACCGCGUGGUGCAAUAGUGAAAUACGGUUUUUCGGUCACUUAUAGAUGGAUCCGCGCCGCAUUAGAUAGUUGGUAAGUUACCGGCUUACCAAGGUAACGAUGCGUAGCCGAAGUGAGAGGGUGGUAGGCCACACUGGAACUGGACCAGGGUCCAUACUACUAAGGGAGGCACCAGUAGGGAAUCUUACGCAACGGGCGAAAGCCUGACGGAGCAACGGCGCGUGAGUGAUGAAGGUCUUGCGAGCGUAAAACUCUCUUAUUAGGGAAGAACAAAUGUGUAAGUAAACAUGGACGUAGUGACGGUACUUAAUCAGAAAGCCACGGCUAACUACGUG